AUGGCUUCACUUUCGUCAAUAAAUCGCACUUAUAAUUGUUUGUGCGACGAUGCAUAAAGCGAAGCUAGAAAAUUGUUCUCCUCGCUAUCCGGUGCCGCGGUCGUGCUGCAUCUGGACGUCGGGGAACUAUAUUU
rfam:Vitis vinifera, whole genome shotgun sequence of line PN40024, chromosome 6, chr6